GUCGAAAGCCCGGGAACCCUGGAAGCAGGGAGGAACUAAGUUAAGAUGCAGUAUACUUGAGGACCUCUGAUUAGAGCACACCAGCUUGCCCUGCAGGCAGAGGACAGAGGAGCUCUCGGAGACUGAGGUAGCAGCUGCAGAUUCUACACUGUGGAUGGAUAGACUGAGAGAAACAGCCAUCAUCCUUCAAGAUGGGGCUCCAAGUAAGAAAGGCACUAAGCUCGAAGCAAAGACAAACACACUUACAGCUAAUCCCCUUCCUCUUCUGGCCACUGGAAAGGCCCUGGUCCAUGGAUGAAGUCAGAAGAACUUGGUUGCCAAGAAAUACUUGGGGAAGUCACCUCUGCCAAGACAGGAGGGGAAACUCUCCUCCAAGAAACUACUUUUUGCUUUUGAGUCAGGGUCUUACAAGGUAGCCCAGGCUGUUCUCAACCUCACCAUCCUGUGGCUUCAACUCUCGAGUGCUGGGAUUAUGGCUAAGAACCACCAUGUCUGGCUGAGGCUGAUAUUUACUGCAAGCUGAAGCGGAGGGUUGAUCAUAGGGAUAGAGAAGAGCACAGAGGGGCUCUCUGUGUCUGUCACGUGUCAAUGUGGAUUCUUCUGCCAGCCGGGGUUUUGCAGUGGACAAGAGAGACAACACCCUUUUGUCAAGGGACUCCUGGGCCAGAGCUGCGGAUCUGGAUGAGGAACUCUCCGCUCCUUCUCCAGUACCGUGUCUGCUCGCAUGCUGCCCUGCUCCCUGCCAUGAUAACUCACUAAACCUCUGAAACUAGCCAACACAAGGAAAAGACACAGAGCUGAGACCUAAUGACCCAGCUGUGCAAAGCAUGGAAGCAUUGACUUACUCGAGGGCAGAGAUGAGUCCCAAACGGACAGAGACAAGAGACAAACGGAUGAGGUGUAGGUGGCUGGAGGGGAAGAUGGAGGAGUGGGCAUGGCCUUGGUGCUUUUCUGUCUGGAGACCCCCAAGGCCUUCCUUGCUUCUCUCCACUGCCUAAGUGGUGGGUGAGCCCCUGGUCCUACUGAGAGAGCCCUUCUCAAAAGACCUGGAACUUUCCACUCAACCCACUUUUAGGAAAGAAAAUGGGACAGUUGUAGUCCAUUCCACUGGUUGAAUGCCCAAGUCAAGUAAGUAACUAGAAGCAUUAUUUAAGCAAAUAAACAACAAUAUUUGUAUUCAGCUAUCACCCCUUCAGUCUCUCAUGAGAGGAAGCACCCAAGGGACUGCUCUGGACAGUGAGUUUACCAGUCAGCAUGGUCACAGGGCAGGGCUUGGGACAUCUGCAUGGGAAC
rnacentral:sRNA from 1 species